UCCGAAUUGGUGUAGUGGCUAACAUUUGACGCUCUCAUCUGCCGUCUUGCCCCUCUUAUCAGAGGUUAAGCAGUAGUACUAGUACCGUCAAGCCCGGGGUUCGAUUCCCCGAUUCGGAG